rnacentral:rRNA from 1 species
GGGAUAGCCUUUGGAAACGAAGAAUAAUACCCUAUAAAACCAUAAAAGCACAUGCUAGAAUGGUCAAAGUGAUAGCGGUGUAAGAUGGACUUGCGUCUGAUUAGCUAGUUGGUGAGAUAAAAGCUCACCAAGGCAACGAUCAGUAGCCGGCUUGAGAGAGUGUACGGCCACAUUGGGACUGAGACACGGCCCAG